UGCAAGUCGAACGGCAGCGCGAGAGAGCUUGCUCUCUUGGCGGCGAGUGGCGGACGGGUGAGUAAUAUAUCGGAACGUGCCCAGUAGCGGGGGAUAACUACUCGAAAGAGUGGCUAAUACCGCAUACGCCCUACGGGGGAAAGGGGGGGAUCGCAAGACCUCUCACUAUUGGAGCGGCCGAUAUCGGAUUAGCUAGUUGGUGGGGUAAAGGCUCACCAAGGCAACGAUCCGUAGCUGGUUUGAGAGGACGACCAGCCACACUGGGACUGAGACACGGCCCAGACUCCUACGGGAGGCAGCAGUGGGGAAUUUUGGACAAUGGGGGAAACCCUGAUCCAGCCAUCCCGCGUGUAUGAUGAAGGCCUUCGGGUUGUAAAGUACUUUUGGCAGAGAAGAAAAGGUAUCCCCUAAUACGGGAUACUGCUGACGGUAUCUGCAGAAUAAGCACCGGCUAACUACGUGCCAGCAGCCGCGGUAAUACGUAGGGUGCAAGCGUUAAUCGGAAUUACUGGGCGUAAAGCGUGUGUAGGCGGUUCGGAAAGAAAGAUGUGAAAUCCCAGGGCUCAACCUUGGAACUGCAUUUUUAACUGCCGAGCUAGAGUAUGUCAGAGGGGGGUAGAAUUCCACGUGUAGCAGUGAAAUGCGUAGAUAUGUGGAGGAAUACCGAUGGCGAAGGCAGCCCCCUGGGAUAAUACUGACGCUCAGACACGAAAGCGUGGGGAGCAAACAGGAUUAGAUACUCUGGUAGUCCACGCCCUAACGAUGUCAACUAGCU
rnacentral:rRNA from 1 species